GUCGAGAAUCUUCGGCAAUGGGCGCAAGCCUGACCGAGCGACGCCGCGUGGAGGACGAAGGCCUUCGGGUUGUAAACUCCUGUCGAGGGGGAGGAAGGGCCGCUGCAGAGGCGGUCUUGACCGAUCCCUGGAGGAAGCACGGGCUAAGUUCGUGCCAGCAGCCGCGGUAAGACGAACCGUGCGAACGUUAUUCGGAAUCACUGGGCUUAAAGCGCGUGUAGGCGGGCCAGCACGUCGGGCGCUGAAAUCCCCCGGCUCAACCGGGGAACGGGCACCGAUACGACUGGCCUGGAGGGGAGUAGGGGGACCUGGAACUUCCGGUGGAGCGGUGAAAUGCGUUGAGAUCGGAAGGAACGCCCGUGGCGAAAGCGAGGUCCUGGGCUCUUACUGACGCUGAGACGCGAAAGCCAGGGGAGCGAACGGGAUUAGAUACCCCGGUAGUCC
rnacentral:rRNA from 1 species